rnacentral:rRNA from 1 species
UACGUAGGUGGCAAGCGUUAUCCGGAAUUAUUGGGCGUAAAGCGCGCGCAGGCGGUUUCUUAAGUCUGAUGUGAAAGCCCACGGCUCAACCGUGGAGGGUCCAUUGGAAACUGGGGAACUUGAGUGCAGAAGAGAAAAGCGGAAUUCCACGUGUAGCGGUGAAAUGCGUAGAGAUGUGGAGGAACACCAGUGGCGAAGGCGGCUUUUUGGUCUGUAACUGACGCUGAGGCGCGAAAGCGUGGGGAGCAAACAGG